CGAGUUUAUUUUCGAAUAGAGAUUGAAAUAAAUCUAAUUAUUUUACUACAAAUAGGUGUACCUAAGUAUAGUAUGUCAAAGGACUUAAUAUAUAUUAACAUGAAAGGUAUUGAAAUCUGUAAUUUUAUAGUUUGGUAAACAAGUAAUUGUCAGUAAAAAACUGUUACGAAAAAGAGAGUACUGAGCUAUAACCGCGAAAAUAAAAAGUUCGCAGAUGGCGGGGAUCUUUCUCUUUUACUCCAAUGAAGGCAUAUAAUUUUUCAUUGCAGUAAAAGCGAAAGAUCCCCGCAAUUUGCGAAUUUCGGUUUUUGCGAUAGCCUCUCUGUUCUUUCUGCUUAAAAUGCUCCACUGAAAAACGACUCUUCCCAAACUAUAGAUUAAGUACAGGUAAGUAGUUUACCUAGUUUAUUUAAAAUUAGCAAAUACCUAAGUUAACAAUGUAACGUUAUGUCUGGUAUGGUCUGGCAAACCAAAUUUGUUAGAAGAAAAGGCAGCAAAUUGAAAAAAAAUUGGCGGGAAAAUUCUAUCUCCCAUAUGAAAUUUGAAUUUCGCAACUAAAUGCUUGGUUUGCCAGGCGAUAUUAGAUAUGUACCUGUAUUUGGAUACAUGUGGCCACUACAUGUGUAUAAGUGGGUGAAUCAACUUGUUUUACCACUUAUUGCCAUAGUUAUGGUUUUCUGAACUACAAAACAAUGGGUACUCAUCCCUUUCUUUUGGGUGCUAGUAUCAGCGUAACACUACAAAGACUCUUUCUGAAAGAUUAUUUGUCUAAAGUGUAAUUCUAUGGAACUUGCUAACUACUUAUGUAAACAAAAGUCAGAAGUAAGUUCAUCAUUCAGAGACAAUUUCAAUAUGUUUACGUAGUUGUAUGUUUACAUAGUUAGCAAGUUCCAUAGAAUGACACUUUAUGUUUGAUAUGAGACAGUCCCUGGACACAAUAGGGCUUAUUACACUUAUCCUGCCUUCAGACGGCUAACGAUGAGCCGCGACGUCGGCCCCGAUAUCGGGCAAGGAUCGUUUUACGUUUCAUGUGGUUUCAUGAAAUAUUGUCACAUCGUUCACAAUAUUUCUUGGUGUAAAAAAUAGUUCAACUACAAAAAUAUCAACCAUGAUUGCCAAUUCGAGACAAAGUAUAUGUUACAUGUCAAAUAUUGUUGACGAUGCUCUUAUAUUUCGUGAAAUGCAAAACGAUCUUGCUCGGGCGCACCGUCGGCCACGAUCGUAUUAAGGCCCGACGGUGUGGAAGUGUAAUAAGCGCUUAUAAUGUACAUAACGUCAAGGAAUAGUUGAUCCACCCAUUUUUUUUUACUAGUUGUGACGUGGCUUCGCCAGUCUCCUUUGUGUCUUUUGAGAGUGUGUGGUACAUGUAUGGUAACGAAUAUUGUCAGCUAGAGGUCGGUUCUGUAACUUCCAACAACUUCUGUAAACAGGAUUGACGUCCGUACAAACAUAGCUAACGUAAUGUUACAUUUUAAGUAAAAAUUAAGGAUGACACACGCUAGACCGCGCGGGAUCCGAGCCGAGGCGUUCGACACGUAAUUUUCUAUGACGGCUGAUCGGUGUUCACGUGGUGCUUUCCAUAUAAAACGAAGCGCUGGAGCUCCGGCUCGGUCUCAGCCCUGUCUAAUAGCGUGAGUCAUCCUUUAUGGUGAUCUCCUUAAUAGAAAUAGAAGGGCUAAAUCUAUCCUCUCACAAGUGUAACAGGAUAAUUUCUGCUGUGAGAGACAGCUCUUAGUAGCAAGUUAGCAGAAAGUAUCCGGUAGCAGAAAAGGUAUAAUCCUUAGCCAGAAGAUUCCUCCGACGAUCUCACUCCUCACAUUUUUUUUUAGACAGAAUAGCAUAAUCUAGUUAUUUAUUUGUGACUAUAUCCUAGAGCCUCAGCGCCCGUUUUUGUACCCGUUUACUAUCUGUGAAUUAUGUAGAAUAUUGUAAAAUAUAGGUAGUAGGCAAUAUAAACUGACUACCUGAUAAUUAUAUAUUUUUUUUUAUAAUCAGGCAGACCACUAAGCUUAUAAUGUUUAACGUAGGUAUUUUUAGACACUCGCGCGACUUGUAGGUACCUUUACAAACACCACCACCAGACCAGUACAAACGGCAAAUAUCAAUUUACGCUUUUCCUACUGACAUAUUGGUUUGCCAAACUACAAUUAUAAUGUACCAUAAUUGGAAUAUGCUUAGGUAUCGACUGCAAUGUAUUAUUAGUUACUGCAAUAAAGAAUUUGUAAGUAUUUCCAGUUCGAUUGUCAAAGCCUCCAUUAGUAGUACCUAGGUGAUCAUAGGUCCUAGAACCGGGUCAUCCGGGGGCUUACGAUAACUUGCUUACUCGUCAAGAUAUGACGAGUAAUUAUUGUAUUUUAAAUUGUUAAAAGAUUUUUAUAGUACUUAUUGUUGUGUUGCUAUAACUUUGUUAGUGGAUUUGUUUAAAAUUGCUGUUAAAUGUUAUAAAAUUUGGUAAAUAAAGUAAUUUAACCAUU